UACGAAGGGGGCUAGCGUUGCUCGGAAUCACUGGGCGUAAAGGGUGCGUAGGCGGGGCUUUAAGUCAGGGGUGAAAUCCUGGAGCUCAACUCCAGAACUGCCUUUGAUACUGAGGAUCUUGAGUUCGGGAGAGGUGAGUGGAACUGCGAGUGUAGAGGUGAAAUUCGUAGAUAUUCGGAAGAACACCAGUGGCGAAGGCGGCUCACUGGACCGGUAUUGACGCUGAGGUGCGAAAGCGUGGGGAGCAAACAGG
rnacentral:rRNA from 1 species